rnacentral:rRNA from 1 species
GGGUAGCGGAACACGUACGCAACCUCCCCAUAACUGGUGAAUAGCCUUUCGAAAGAGAGAUUAAUACACCGUAACAUAAAGAAGAGGCAUCUCUUUCUUAUUAUAGACUUCGGUCGGUUUUGGAUGGGCGUGCGCCUGAUUAGGUAGUUGGCGGGGUAACGGCCCACCAAGCCUGCGAUCAGUAACUGGUGUGAGAGCACGACCAGUCACACGGGCACUGAGACACGGGCCCG